CUACUAUAAAGAGUGCGUGAGGGAGUAAGCCCUAUGAUCGCACACCAACCUACCAAAAGGCAAGGUGGUAAAGCUUAACCGAUGGUGU
rnacentral:ncRNA from 2 species